GCAACCCUGGAUGCUGAAGGCACAUACAGCACUGUGAACACCAGAAAGGAAGCCCAGCAAACAACUACAGACUCUGAAGAUGAAGUGACCUACAGCACAGUGUUUACCAGGACUAGACCACUGCACAAACCCUCUGAAGACCCUGCAAAUGAGGUCACCUACAGCUCAGUUGUUCUGCUCAAUUCACGG